AUUGAACGCUGGCGGCAGGCCUAACACAUGCAAGUCGAGCGAGUGGCGGACGGGUGAGUAAUGUAUGGGGAACUGCCUGAUGGAGGGGGAUAACUACUGGAAACGGUGGCUAAUACCGCAUACUAUCAGAUGAACCCAUAUGGGAUUAGCUAGUAGGUGGGGUAAAGGCUCACCUAGGCGACGAUCCCUAGCUGGUCUGAGAGGAUUACCAGCCACACUGGGACGGAGACACGGCCCAGACUCCUACGGGAGGCAGCAGUGGGGAAUAUUGCACAAUGGGCGCAAGCCUGAUGCAGCCAUGCCGCGUGUAUGAAGAAGGCCUUAGGGUUGUAAAGUACUUUCAGCGGGGAGGCGUUACCCGCAGAAGAAGCACCGGCUAACUCCGUGCCAGCAGCCGCGGUAAUAC
rnacentral:rRNA from 1 species